AAUUAAUGAUUCCCCUAGUACGGCGAGUGAGCGGGAAGAGCUCAAAUUUGAAAUCUGGCAGUCUUCGAUUGUCCGAGUUGUAAUCUAUAGAGGCGUUUUCCGUGCCGGACCGUGUCCAAGUCUCCUGGAAAGGAGUAUCAAAGAGGGUGAUAAUCCCGUACUUAACACGACCACCGGUGCUCUGUGAUACGUCUUCUACGAGUCGAGUUGUUUGGGAAUGCAGCUCAAAAUGGGUGGUGAAUUCCAUCUAAAGCUAAAUAUUGGCGAGAGACCGAUAGCGAACAAGUACCGUGAGGGAAAGAUGAAAAGCACUUUGGAAAGAGAGUUAAACAGUACGUGAAAUUGUUGAAAGGGAAACGAUUGAAGUCAGUCGUGUUCUUUGGAUUCAGCCAGUUCUGCUGGUCUACUUCCUUGGAACGGGUCAACAUCAGUUUUGUCCGGUGGAUAAAGGUAGUAGGAAUGUGACUUCUCCGGAAGUGUUAUAGCCUAUUAUCACAUACACUGGGUGAGACUGAGGACUGCAGCUCGCCUUUAUGGCCGGUCUUCGGACACGUUCGAGCUUAGGAUGUUGACAUAAUGGCUUUAAACGACCCGUCUUGAAACACGGACCAACGUCUCC
rnacentral:rRNA from 1 species